rnacentral:tmRNA from 1 species
GGGGCUGUAAUGGUAUCGACGGGGUACAGAACGGACAUAAUUCGCAGGAGUGGUUGCCUAACAACCAACAUUAAAAUAAACGCUAAAGAAACAAGACUGGCGGCGUAAGCUGCACUCUAUAUAGAUGAUUGUGGGAUAUAAUCUAUAUAGAGCCGAAAUUCCCACAGAAGUUUCCUGUUUUUCUUAAAAAUAGGUGGUGGACAAGAAACCAGUAUAUACCUGGGAAAACGGUUAGCUGUCUCAUUUUCGCUAGGAUGACGUUUAAAAAUAAAUAUCCGAAUGAAAGAGUAUUGCGUAAAAAGAUUGUGUAGUUAGUAUGUAUUUCGGACACGGGUUCAACUCCCGUCAGCUCCAUUU